AAGUCACCAACAAGUCACCAACUGUACCUGUAAUAAUGAUCAUUCCCUCCCCACUCACGGGUGUCAUCUAGGCCAGGGUAAGGUCGAGGGAAACGCAGCAUAAAUAACCUUUCGCAGAACAUCAUCAUAUACACACCCGAAGUAUGUAACGAUAAUAUCCCACCAGGGUCUGAACUGCUCGUGAUAUCAAUGUUCCGCUAAGUGGCGCAAUACCA
rnacentral:lncRNA from 1 species